UCUUUUCCUAGAUGAAGCGCACUCCAAUCUUAGAAUCCAUUAGAUUAUUUAUUUUCUUUCUUUAUAUUUUAAGCAGAUUUUGUAAUAAGAAUGUCAUUCCCUCUUUGCCAGAAGCUGAGUUCUUGUUCUUCUCUCGGUUCUUUUUCCAAGUGUUCUUUUGUUUGUUCUAAUCUUUUUUUUUUUCUUUAUAAAAGAUAUAAAGGAUAGUUAAUCUAAUUCUCAAUUUAUUUUUUUGUUGAGAAGAAAUUUAAUGCCAUGUCAUAAAAGAUAAUUAAUCAGAACCAUUAAAUGCUUUUAUAUCUAAGGGCUUUAAAGAAGUGUAAAAAAUUGUGUCAAAUAAUGUGUCCAUUGAUCCUAACCCCUUACAUAAUAAAAUAAAUAAAUUGUGAUUUUAAGUUUUAAAUUCUCCUUUGAGCUUCCUAAAUUGGUAUCAUCAUCGUAUUUCUCAUAUGUCCAACUUUUGUUUUGGUUUUAGCUAGUUCGAUUGGCAUCAUUUCAAUCUAGCAUUUGAUGAUUAAAAGAACAAAAAAAAUAUUACACCUAACACCUCAUGAUCAUUACUAGUAGGCUUCAACCUAAGUCCCUCAGCUCUUCCAUUCAUUAAAAAUCAACGCCUCAAAUUAACACAUCUGACUUCAGGCAAUUUUCUUUUUCACAAAGAACAUUUCUUGACCAUUUAAAGCAGAUUUCUUCCACCUCACACCACCUAACACCUCCCGAUCAUUAUUAGUAGGCUUCAACCUAAGUGCCUCAGCUCUUCCAUUCAUUAAAAAUCAACGCAUCAGAAAAAUUAAUACCUUAGAAAUUAGGCAAUUGUCUCUUUCACAAAGAACAUUUCUUGGCCAUUUGAAGCAGAUUUCUUCCACCUCACACCGAAGCACGCCCAUAGCCGCUCCCUAGAAACGCUUUUGAAAACAUUGGUUAGGUGUAGCUAAUAGUUAUAAUGAUAAUAUUAGUUUUCCAUUAGUGUAUUUUAUUAAUGAGAUGUAGUGUUGGUUGUCACUUGAAGUGCAUCUUUAAUUACUAAUGAGUUUACUGUAACGGAUGCCUCUUGUUGUGGGUUGGCAAUGGAGAAGAAGCCAUGCAUGUGGGAGCCAGAUGUAGGUUGAAUUUGCAGGUCAAUUGGUACUUAAUGCAUAAAUCACAAUAACUAAGCAGGAUAAGAAGGCUUCAUCAACUUCGAUUGUAAUAUUUUCUACUGAUGGACUCACAUGAAAUGGCAAUAUAAUAUGCCUUCUAUUGGGUUCAGGUAAAGGCCUCUUUUAUACUAGAAGAUGUAAUAAUUAGAACCUAUAGGUUUUAACAGAACUUCUAGCUAAAGAAAACUCAAGAAGAAGGAGCAUAAUAAGCUAAGCAUUUGCUGGAAAUUUUGGUACAUUUGCAAAAAGUAAUGGCAAGGAAGCUAUAAUUUCAAAUCAUGAACAAGAAAUUGAUGUAAUGUGGCUUAUGGAAACAUGUAUUAACAUAGAUAUAAUACUUUGCAGAUGGCUAUGUAUGUCUCCUUCUUGAAACCAAGCACAAAUUGUAGUAUCUCUUUUCUUUUUUUCUUUUUGACA